rnacentral:lncRNA from 1 species
ACUUCUGCUGAGGCGUGCGCUCGCCGGCUGGAGUCCCACCUCUUGCUGCAGUCCGGCGAGACUCCUGGGACGAAUCCAUUCUUUCUCCUACUUCCUCUCUAGCAGGCACUCUGAGUCCUCCGCAAAAGAAUGUGCAGGAUCAGAGGCCUCUUUCCAUUCUGCAAGGGUCACGCAAGACCCAUGGAAUUCAACAGGAGGCAAUCUAGGGACUAUAAAAGGUCGCGACGUCUGGCUUGAGGUUAAUGGAAGUUACAAAGGGUCAAAAGCCGACAGUGAGCGCUACCAGGUAUCCACUGGAAGUCGGUGAGAGAGAUCCGUUGGGGAAAGGGAGGGAGGUAAAGAUCAAGGGUUCUUAGAACUGUGGGCGGUCACUAGAGAUCACAGAGAAGGACGUGCCCAUACAGGUGUCGGGUCGGCGUAGUGCCGGCAGUGCAAGGCGCACGUUACUGUGGACCUGAAGGCUCAGGCCUUGGUGCCAAGGCCGCCCUGUGGGCUCAGGAUAGUUUCCCACCUACUCGACUGUAAUUAGUACUCUGGCGAGAGUAAAAAGGUACUGGCGUGGGACUUAGAAUACAGGAUGCCACCGGCUGAAGAAGAACCUUGUGUGUUUGGAAAAGCGGGCUGCUUCCUAUCGGUCUUGGAUAAAAGGCAACCCAGAGCCCGGGUGCAUCCCUAACUCAUGCCCAAGGAAGGUCGUGCGGAGCCAGAGGACCUAGAAUGUAUAGUGCGCCUUCUGGGUUUGUCCACACAAUAGCGCAGGAACACAGCGACCCAAUAUAGUGAGAAGUGGCCGCAGCGCACACCCUGAGACCCUUCACCAGGCGGCCCACCCGGAGCCUGCCUACUCAGCCCCGCUACCACGAUAAGCCUGGAAUGUCAAAUAUUUGUUCUAGGAACCCAGUGAAACCUUGAGGUAAAGCCCCUCCCCUCCUCCCUCCCAUUCCGGAGCGCGCCUGCGUCAGUCCAGGCUUUCCGGUAAGGACACUCCCUUCCAACUAGUUCCUUCUCGACACCCCUGCAACCCAUCGUCCUGACUAUUUAAACUUCACAAGGUCUUCGCUACAGGCUCAGGUUCAGUGAGGCAGAGUCUUGGCUUCCCUACCCAGUUAUCCCAGAGCUACUGGUAUCGGUUUCUACCCACAACCUCCGAGCAAGGCUCCCCUUUCAACCUGUAGACCUCGCCUCCCGAUUCUCGGGAGAUCUUGCUGACUGUGGAAUCCCUGGCUGUUCCGAACCCCCUGGAAAGAAGCGGCUGUUCCCAGGUUUCUGCAAGGUAACGAAUCUGAAGAGUCAACAGAAUUGAGCGGCUCCAUUCAUUCGACUCUGGUUCUCUCAACCAGGCAUUCCCCAUAUUAAAACAAUUCCAGAACUUCAAA